GUGGGGAAUCUUAGACAAUGGGGGAAACCCUGAUCUAGCCAUGCCGCGUGAGCGAUGAAGGCCUUAGGGUUGUAAAGCUCUUUCAGCUGGGAAGAUAAUGACUGUACCAGCAGAAGAAGCCCCGGCUAACUCCGUGCCAGCAGCCGCGGUAAUACGGAGGGGGCUAGCGUUGUUCGGAAUUACUGGGCGUAAAGCGCACGUAGGCGGACCGGAAAGUCAGAGGUGAAAUCCCAGGGCUCAACCUUGGAACUGCCUUUGAGACUCCUGGUCUUGAGGUCGAGAGAGGUGAGUGGAAUUCCGAGUGUAGAGGUGAAAUUCGUAGAUAUUCGGAGGAACACUAGUGGCGAAGGCGGCUCACUGGCUCGAUACUGACGCUCAGGUGCGAAAGCGUUCUGCACAAACACGAUUAGAAACCCUGGUAGUCC
rnacentral:rRNA from 1 species